rnacentral:rRNA from 1 species
GAUGAACGCUGGCGGCGUGCCUAAUACAUGCAAGUCGAGCGAACAGACGAGGAGCUUGCUCCUCUGACGUUAGCGGCGGACGGGUGAGUAACACGUGGAUAACCUACCUAUAAUACUGGGAUAACUUCGGGAAACCGGAGCUAAUACCGGAUAAUAUAUUGAACCGCAUGGUUCAAUAGUGAAAGACGGUUUUGCUGUCACUUAUAGAUGGAUCCGCGCCGCAUUAGCUAGUUGGUAAGGUAACGGCUUACCAAGGCGACGAUGCGUAGCCGACCUGAGAGGGUGAUCGGCCACACUGGAACUGAGACACGGUCCAGACGCCUACGGGAGGCAGCAGUAGGGAAUCUUCCGAAAUGGGCGAAAGCCUGACGGAGCAACGCCGCGUGAGUGAUGAAGGUCUUCGGAUCGUAAAACUCUGUUAUUAGGGAAGAACAAAUGUGUAAGUAACUAUGCACGUCUUGACGGUACCUAAUCAGAAAGCCACGGCUAACUACGUG